rnacentral:tRNA from 1 species
UUCUAAUAUGGCAGAAUAGUGCAAUGGACUUAAACCCCAUAAAUAAAGUUUUUACUUUUUUUAGAAA